CAGCCGCCGCGGGAAUACGUAGGGUGCAAGCGUUAAUCGGAAUUACUGGGCGUAAAGCGUGCGCAGGCGGUUUUGUAAGACAGAGGUGAAAUCCCCGGGCUCAACCUGGGAACUGCCUUUGUGACUGCAAGGCUAGAGUACGGCAGAGGGGGAUGGAAUUCCGCGUGUAGCAGUGAAAUGCGUAGAUAUGCGGAGGAACACCGAUGGCGAAGGCAAUCCCCUGGGCCUGUACUGACGCUCAUGCACGAAAGCGUGGGGAGCAAACAGGAUUAGAUACCCCAGUAGUCCCUGUCUCUUAUAA
rnacentral:rRNA from 1 species